AACUUACUUUUUUCUGCAGCAUAUUCUUUUUCAAUGACAAGGCAUCGGUUCAUGAUGCUUACAUGCGACGGCUUGAAUUCAACUAGCUCUUCAUAGGAAGCUUCACCCUUCUUAUUCAAUAAUAUAUAUUUGUAUCCACAUCUCCUGGAGGCAAGCCGUAGUGGAACCUUAACCUCACCGCGUAACAGCCAUUGUUUGUCACAAUGU